UACGGAGGGUGCAAACGUUGCUCGGAAUCAUUGGGCGUAAAGCGCACGUAGGCGGUCGGCUAUGUCGGAUGUGAAAGCCUCGGGCUUAACCCGAGAAGGGCAUCCGAAACUGGCCGGCUUGAGUACGGAAGAGGGUCUCGGAAUUCCCGGUGUAGAGGUGAAAUUCGUAGAUAUCGGGAGGAACACCAGUGGCGAAGGCGGAGACCUGGGCCGAUACUGACGCUGAGGUGCGAAAGCGUGGGGAGCAAACGGG
rnacentral:rRNA from 1 species